AUCAGUGUAUUCAACCUGUGUCGAGGCUGCUGUAAAAAGAAGGCCCACAAGGAGGUGGCAGACUGCCCAAGUCACGGGCUGAGGUUCAAGACCAAGGCAGAGAAACAGAAGUCAGAGCGGCAAGAGGAGGACGAGGAGGGAAAGAGCAGAGGGUUACAGGAGGAAGAGGAUGGAGGAUUGUUGAACCCCAG